rnacentral:lncRNA from 1 species
GUACAAAGAACAUUGGUGUCAAGAAACUAUCUUCAACCAUCCCAAGAUGACCUGGAUUUUAGCACCACGUAUGAAGUGUGCCCCAUUACAUAAGCUACUUUAAAGUAAAACUGGGCAAAGCAAGAAGCCAUUUACCCUAUAAUACCUUCUCUUUGAUCACCCCUGUGUGUCCUUAUGAUUUCUCAGCAGGCAGACCUCCUUUAACAAUGGUCACACACAUGCACAUGCACACACACGCACAUGCACACACUCCUUUAAGAGCAGGAGUAUGGCAUAAUUGUGAUUAUUGCUAGACAUCAUCUCUGAACAUACAAAGAUAAGAGAAAGAUCAACUCUUUGCUAAAACAUCAUUUUGGCACACAUUACACGUUCGAUGGUUUUUCCACCCAGCUGAGGGUAAGAUUUUGGAGAUUUGGCUUCCUAUUCAGCUGGAUUCCCAGGGCGUCUGUUAAUUCCUUCAUGCUCAAAGAUGUGCACUUGUGCAGAGGGAUGAGAAAGUGGGAAUGAAAGAAACCCCACUCAAUGAAGGAUCCAGCGCUGAUUUUCUGUGCUCAUUAGUGACCUGGAACUUGUAGACUUCCAAUGGGCUGAAAAGGAAGACCCUUGUAUCCCCCCUCUCCUGGAAAUAAACAAAAGACUUGGCCAUCUCAAUCCUUUCCUCUCUUCUGAUCAUGGAAACACUGCCCUUUUGGGAUUCUCUUUAUGCAGCCAAUCUAUUCAUUAAAAUGUCACUUGGCAUGUAUAAAUAAAUAAAUAAGCCACAAAUACCAAAAAUCCAUGCCCUCCCCCCCACAAUAAUAAAACACCCUACAGAUUAGAUAAUGGAAAAACCAGGAGAUAAAGUGCAAUAAUCAAGCAUCCAUGUGAAAAAAAAAACAAAAACAAAAUCAGCCUGUCCAGACCACUGAAGAGAUAUAUUAAAAUUGUUUCUUUUGGGAUACUGCUGUAGUCAUGUGCUAACAAGAGACAUUAGGGAGAUAUCCUAAAAGAACAAUAAUAGAUAGGAGAUUUUAAGCAAAAACAAAACAAAAAACCCAUCCAAAAGCAACCAUGAUGACCAAAAAACCCAG